ensembl:lncRNA
UUUGUGUAAGUUUUUACAAAAUUACUCUUGUGCUUCUACAAGCCUUUAUGUUCACUUUUGUUUGCUCAGCCUUUCUGAAGCAUGACCUUAGGACCUUUUGACAGGAGACAUUGAUUGAGUGGGAUGGGGAAAGGAAGGAAGAACUUGACUUUGAACCUCAAGAUAAAUACAUAAAGCUUUCCUGCAGAGAAGGAGCAUUCCUUGAGCAGUCAUGAUUGUAAACUUCCAAGUAUCAUCACAAGAUGGCAGAAGAUAAAUCAUGGGACAACUGACAUUGAAGACUCAGACGGCUCCUCAUAUGAAAAGUCAAGAGAAGAAGUUAGAGAUGAAGAAUAGAAGCCUUUUGGGGCUUCCUGGGAGUGACUACUGAGCUUAUUCAAGGGACUUGUGAUACAGUCACCUGACUCCAGAGCUACAUCUACCAAGUCUCCAGCCAUAUUCUACUCUGCUCUUUCUCUAGAGUCAACCUUCCCCAUGAAGUAUGGUCGAAGUUAUGAACUGGUCACAUUGAAUAGUGACAGGAGCUGACAGCUCUACUUGUCUCCCUUGUCUUGCCACCUCUCUAAAUACUUCCUGGAUUCCUCAACCAACUUCAUUACUUGUUACAUUUUCACCACAAAGUUUUGUGGAAAGAAAAGCAAGCAUGAACAGUACUGCAUUACCAACUCAGAACCAAAAUUCAAGACAAUAACACUGUGUAUGUAUUGAAUCCAGAUGGGAGGGCAUGAUGGAGGGAAGAUGGACCAAAAAAAUCUU